rnacentral:rRNA from 1 species
CAGUAGCCGCGGUAAUACGUGGGUGGCAAGCGUUGUCCGGAAUUAUUGGGCGUAAAGCGCGCGCAGGUGGUUUAAUAAGUCUGAUGUGAAAGCCCACGGCUCAACCGUGGAGGGUCAUUGGAAACUGUUAAACUUGAGUGCAGGAGAGAAAAGUGGAAUCCCUAGUGUAGCGGUGAAAUGCGUAGAGAUUAGGAGGAACACCAGUGGCGAAGGCGGCUUUUUGGCCUGUAACUGACACUGAGGCGCGAAAGCGUGGGGAGCAAACAGGAUUAGAGACCCCGGUAGUCCCUGUCUCUUAUAC